CACGGGACACCUGCAUCUGCCAACAAGACUGGAAGCAGGUGAGGCACACAGAGGGGGAGGCCCGCAGCUGCGUGGGAGGAGGGGUGGUCUGAGGGACGUGGGAUGCCGGGAAUGAGGCUGGUUUGCAGGUUGGCGCAUGGACAUUUUCCCAGAAAGGGACAGAGACGGCGAAGUUUGACGGUCUGGAAAGCAGAGACCAGCAGGGCUGACUGCUUGGGAGCACCAAAUAUCCGGACAGCGCCUCUCGGGAGGUCCGAGAAGAGAACCGCGAUCUGUUUCAGCACCGGGGCUCAGGACAGUUCCCAGCGGGCUCCGUUUCGUCUCCAGAACCCUGGACAGCUCCUCCAGCCUCCCAAAGUGCUAGGAUUACAGGCGUGAGUCACUGCGCCUGGCCCAAGUCCGGAAUUUUCAACAGGACAUGGGUGUUACUGUGCCCAUGUGACAUUUGGGGAACCCAAGGCCCUGAGAAAGGCAGAAAAAUAACCCACGCAGGGACUCUCAGCCCACAAGUGAAGCUCUUGGAAUGCACUCCCUCCACCUCCAACCAGAGCUCCCCACAACUGACCCUGCCUUCUUCUGCAAGCUCCAUUUCAUCAAGGGAAACGAUCCUUAUUGCCUCACCAUUUCCCACGUGAAGUCUGUAUUGACAUUCUCAUAGACCUGGGAUAUUGUGUCUGCAGCACAUAGUCCAAUUAUUUUCAUGUUAUCUACUGACAGGUCUAUUUGUCUCCCUGUUACACUGUGAGCUCCGUGAGGGCAGAAACAAUGUUAGUAUUUUCACUGCUGUGUCCCCAGCGCCUGGUCCGGGGCCCGGCACACAGCAGGCAUAUAAUAAGCAUGUGUUGAAUCAAUAAAGGCAUCAAAGAAUAAACCAAUACAUCAAUCAAUAAA
rnacentral:lncRNA from 1 species